AUGCAGCAAAUUCAAUAUGGAGGGAGUGGAUCUUCCACUGGGGGCAGUGUGCAGAGCAGCCAGCCAGAAUCCAGUAAGAAUAAGAAGAAGAAAAAUCAGAAAAAUAGGCAGACAACUGUGCAGACAAGUGUUUCCAGUGAAGAUUCAGCUUCCUUUAACAUCGAUCCCAAGUAUGUUGGAGCUAUCUGUUAUAAUUGUGGGCAGCCUGGUCAUUUUGUUGGUAUGUGCCCCACUCCCAAAGCUUGCUUCAUAUGCAAGACCCCUGGCCACCACAUGGACUCUUGCCCUACCUGGUACAAGCCUUAUCCAGCAGCUAUGUAUUGGGGGAGUGCCAAUAAUGGUCUUGGUCUUUUCCACAUAGAGACUGGUGGCAAGGAAGACAAUGAUUGGCUGAACUUUGGUAAUGUUGGACUAGUCUUAGUUGAAAAGGGAGAGAUUAAUGAAGCAGAGCUGGGUGGUUGCUUUUCUGAGAUGUGGAAAACCAAUUGGCCCUGGCAGAUCAGGAGAUAUGACAACAAAAAAUUCAUUGUCAGGUUCCCCCCAACAAAAAAAUCAAAGAACUGGUGGAAUACCCCUCCAUCAACCUAA
rnacentral:rRNA from 1 species